GGGUGCGAUCAUACCAACGUUAAUGCACCGUAUCCCAUCAGAACUCAGUAGUUAAGCUUGCUUGGGCUAGAGUAGUGCUGGGAUGGGUGACCUCCCUGGAAGUCCUAGUGUUGCACCCU
rnacentral:rRNA from 1 species